CGGGACCUAAGACUCGACAAGUAAGCGGUUCCUCCAAGUGAUGUGAGAUUAUCGAACCCAAGAACGAAAUGUUUAAAACCACUACUUGUUGCAUCACAUGUUCUAUUUACAUAUCCUUACAGUUGAAAGUUUUUGCCAGCUAUUCAUCUGCUACAAAGGUCGUAAACACGAACUCCCAAAGUUUGGGGAUGAUUAACCAACAAAGGACAAGGGUAAGAGACACGUUGUAGAUGCCACUACAGAUCCGGGCAAUAAAAAGAAAAAGUUUGGAGCCUUACGCAAACCACAUGUAAUUUUUUCGAUGUCUUGACAAAUAUGUGGACUCUUAUAUCAGUUUUGCUAGAAAAUAUUUAUGACUCCGGAUUUAUACAAUUCUUCAUUUAUGUCAAUUUCUAGAGUGGUGUAUGAGUUGGAAGUUGAAUUCUUGAUUUCGAGUGUAACUGAAAACCAGAAUACGUUUAUGAUUGAUGCAUAGAGUAUGGUCAUUUAUUCAACAUACAGUCGUGCUUAUACAAUUUUUUAUUUCAAAUGAAUAGGCAGAAUGGUGUAUGUGUUGAAAUCUGAAUUUUUGAUUUCAUGUGUAAUUGGAAAUCCAAGUAUGUUUAUGAUUGAUGCAUAGGAUAUGGUCAAUUAUUUGCACAUACAUUCUUACUUAUUCUGUUCAUUAGAUGAAUGAAAUUCAUCAGAUGCACAUGAAUAUAGAACGUGUAAUGCAAAAUAUCUUAUCUGAAACAUGUGAUUCAUAAUGUUUUUAAUUUUGACUUUUUAUUAAAAGGAUGAUAAUAACAUCACGUUGUCUGUAAUAUCCAUUCUCUAACAGGAAUUUUAUUAAUUUGCCUUGGGCAUGAUUGCAGAUUGUUUGUGAUAAAGUUCAUCAAAUAGGUAAUAAACUGUGAGAAGGAUGGAAUGGGGCCAAAGCUUCGAUUCAAAGAAAUUCAGAGCUAACCUGGUGAUCAACUUUACAAACAUGACUGCGAGAAGAUUAUUGAAGCAUAUGAUAGAAUUUCGAUCUUGGACCGUAUACCAUUAGGCGUGACAAGAAGGAAGAUGAAGGGAUUUAUGAUUUGAUUAUUUAUGUAAUUACUCUAGGUUUUUGAACUUCAUCUACACUUUAUAUGAGCAACUGUAAGGUGGUUUCAAGCUGCUACAUCUCGCUCUUCAUUGCAAUGCCUUUUUGCUAUGUUCAGACAUUGUAUUUUGAAUUGUGUCUUUCUUUGAAAUGGUAUUAUCAUGCUUUUGUGUUGAUAAUAUCAUUUUGUGUUGUUGGUUUUUUUUUACGAUUCGAUUAUUGUAAUUAGUCGACACCCAUAUUUUAUUGUCUUUUUUACAUUCACUUUUAACUUUCACAUAGGUGAUGUAAGUUUUUGUGCCGAAUGUGCUUCGAUUAUUGUACAUAUUGUUACUUUUAGUUUGUUCAUCAAGCAUGGCCAAAGAAUUAUUAGUGUUGUGAAGAUUUUUAGGAUUGUAUGCGAUCACAUAGGUAUAACCUAUGUGAAAAAAAAUUUGGUGUUUUACCUUCGGGUCGCAUAGGAGCCCCAUUUUUUCACAAGUCGAUUUUAUUCCUUGAACUUCAUUUUCCACAUUCUUGACCUCGUUUCUUCCUUCUUUUUAUUCUCUCCAUCAAUGUUAACCUCCAAUUUGUACUUGGCUCGAUCGAAUCUUUGAUUGCUC
rnacentral:lncRNA from 1 species